UAGGGAAUCUUCCACAAUGGACGCAAGUCUGAUGGAGCAACGCCGCGUGAGUGAAGAAGGGUUUCGGCUCGUAAAGCUCUGUUGUUAAAGAAGAACGUGGGUAAGAGUAACUGUUUGCCCAGUGACGGUAUUUAACCAGAAAGCCACGGCUAACUACGUGCCAG
rnacentral:rRNA from 1 species